UCAAACUUGGUCAUUUAGAGGAAGUAAAAGUCGUAACAAGGUCUCCGUUGGUGAACCAGCGGAGGGAUCAUUAAAAAAGCGAGUUUUCGACUCCAAAACCCUCUGCGUACGUACUUAUUUAUAUUCUGCUUCGGCGGGUGACCGGCCCUCGAAGCCCCCUACCCUCUCGCGGGGGGCGCCCGCCGGAGGCCUAAAAACUGUCGUGGCACGUACUGGUCGUCUCUUCUGAAUUAGCUCACAAUCAGUAAAAACUUUCAACAACGGAUCUCUUGGUUCUGGCAUCGAUGAAGAACGCAGC
rnacentral:misc_RNA from 1 species